AUUCCAUGAUGAGGGCACUUCCUUAAUAAUUUUUUGUACCUUUCCCAUGCCUCAUACAAAGACUUAUCAUCUAUUUGCUAAAAAGUAGUGAUCUCGUUCCUCAACUU
rfam:Gossypium hirsutum cultivar TM-1 chromosome 15, whole genome shotgun sequence